CAGAACGAACGCUGGCGGCAGGCUUAACACAUGCAAGUCGAGCGCCGUAGCAAUACGGAGCGGCAGACGGGUGAGUAACGCGUGGGAACAUACCCCUUGGUUCGGAAUAACUCAGGGAAACUUGAGCUAAUACCGGAUAAGUCGGCAACGAGAAAGAUUCAUCGCCGAGGGAUUGGCCCGCGUCCGAUUAGCUAGUUGGUGAGGUAACGGCUCACCAAGGCGACGAUCGGUAGCUGGUCUGAGAGGAUGAUCAGCCACAUUGGGACUGAGACACGGCCCAAACUCCUACGGGAGGCAGCAGUGGGGAAUAUUGGACAAUGGGCGCAAGCCUGAAUCCAGCCAUGCCGCGUGAGUGAUGACGGCCUUAGGGUUGUAAAGCUCUUUCGCCAGGGACGAUAAUGACGGUACCUGGAUAAGAAGCCCCGGCUAACUUCGUGCCAGCCGCGGC
rnacentral:rRNA from 1 species